rnacentral:rRNA from 1 species
AUUGAACGCUGGCGGCAGGCCUAACACAUGCAAGUCGAGCGGAGCGGCGGACGGGUGAGUAAUGCCUAGGAAUCUGCCUGGUAGUGGGGGAUAACGUCCGGAAACGGGCGCUAAUACCGCAUACUAUCAGAUGAGCCUAGGUCGGAUUAGCUAGUUGGUAAGGUAACGGCUUACCAAGGCAACGAUGCAUAGCCGACCUGAGAGGGUGAUCGGCCACACUGGAACUGAGACACGGUCCAGACUCCUACGGGAGGCAGCAGUGGGGAAUAUUGCACAAUGGGCGCAAGCCUGAUGCAGCCAUGCCGCGUGUAUGAAGAAGGCCUUCGGGUUGUAAAGUACUUUCAGCGAGGAGGCGUUACUCGCAGAAGAAGCACCGGCUAACUCCGUGCCAGCAGCCGCGGUAAUAC